rnacentral:rRNA from 1 species
UAAGGAAUAUUGGUCAAUGGACGCAAGUCUGAACCAGCCAUGCCGCGUGAAGGAUGAAGGUCCUCUGGAUUGUAAACUCCUUUUAUCUGGGACGAAAACGGGAUUUUUAUCUCAAUUGACGGUACCAGAGGAAUAAGCACCGGCUAACUCCGUGCCAGCAGCCGCGGUAAUACGGAGGGUGCGAGCGUUAUCCGGAUUUACUGGGUUUAAAGGGUGCGUAGGUGGGCCUAUAAGUCAGUGGUGAAAUCUCCGAGCUUAACUUGGAAACUGCCGUUGAUACUAUAGGUCUUGAAUUAUCUGGAGGUAAGCGGAAUAUGUCAUGUAGCGGUGAAAUGCUUAGAUAUGACAUAGAACACCAAUAGCGAAGGCAGCUUACUACAUAUAAAUUGACGCUGAGGCACGAAAGCGUGGGGAUCAAAC